AUGGAGCUGCUCACUCCAGAGCCGUAGGACUGCAUGCCCCCAGUUAUAUUAAUCUUUUCAUUUCUGUGCAGCUCACACCCCUUCUCAGCCAUGGCAAAAAUAAAAGAAAUGUGCUAACAGGAUAAUUUGGUCAGUAUUGGCAAAGUAGGAACUGACAGCUGAAAGAAAACCAAUACGGGAGGGGCGGGCUGAAAGAAACAAGCAGAACCGCAGCAGACAGAAGUUGCUAGCAAAUAACUUGUGCUUAUACUUCUUUUAACCUAGAAAUGAGAAAAUGGAACCGAGGGAGCUUGUGAAAGAGGAGAUCCUUGAGACAAAGCGCAGUGCCAGCCAGAAGCUCAGCCUCGGAUACCUGCACGUGGCCGUCAGACAGAAGAUGGGCAUGAAGACGAGAGCAGAGACAGACCCUACAUUGCACCAAGGCCACGUCAGCUAUGCAGGAGACAGUGGACCUGCAAAUGCAACAAGAAACAGGAAGCUCUUCUUUAACGUCCGUUGUUGCCUUCGUCCUCCCAGCGGCUUCUCCUGCAAGAAGAUGUGGAUGAAGAUCAAGUGAGCACCAGGCUGCCGCCAUAUGUGCAGGAACACCUGCAGAAUAAAAAGUCCUGUUC
rnacentral:lncRNA from 7 species